GUUUUCGGAUAAUCGCGGUUUAGCUUGACUAGGCUGAGGAAAGUCCAUGCUCGCACAAGCUGCGAUGCUUGUAGUGUUCGUGCUUAGCGAAAAAAUAAGCUAAGGUACCUGCCUGGCAGGUAACGGCAGAUAAAACUCCUAAGGCUCCGGCUAUGGGGGAGUAGUCUUGAAAGUGCCACAGUGACGAAGUAACAUUAGAAAUGGUGUUAGUGGAACGCGGUAAACCCCUCGAGCGAGCAACCCAAACUAAGGUAGGGGCACUCUUUUUUAGGAAAUGAACAAGAAAAGAGACAGAUAUAUCUGUAGACAGAUGAUUAUCAUUAUACUUUUUUUCCUGAGAAGGUAUGAUACAGAACAUGGCUUAUAGAA
rnacentral:RNase_P_RNA from 1 species